rnacentral:rRNA from 1 species
UACAGAGGUCUCAAGCGUUGUUCGGAUUCAUUGGGCGUAAAGGGUGCGUAGGUGGCGCCAUAAGUCAGGUGUGAAAUCUCGGGGCUUAACUCCGAAACUGCAUUUGAUACUGUGGUGCUUGAGGACUGGAGAGGAGACGUGGAAUUCCUGGUGUAGCGGUGAAAUGCGCAGAUAUCAGGUGGAACACCGAUGGCGAAGGCAGCACCUCG